rnacentral:rRNA from 1 species
CCUACGGGGGGCAGCAGUGAGGAAUAUUGGUCAAUGGGCGCGAGCCUGAACCAGCCAAGUCGCGUGAGGGAAGACGGUCCUAUGGAUUGUAAACCUCUUUUGUCGGGGAGCAAAAGACGCCACGCGUGGCGUUCCGAGAGUACCCGAAGAAAAAGCGUCGGCUAACUCCGUGCCAGCAGCCGCGGUAAUACGGAGGAUGCGAGCGUUAUCCGGAUUUAUUGGGUUUAAAGGGUGCGCAGGCGGAAGAUCAAGUCAGCGGUAAAAUUGAGAGGCUCAACCUCUUCGAGCCGUUGAAACUGGUUGUCUUGAGUGAGUGAGAGGUAUGCGGAAUGCGUGGUGUAGCGGUGAAAUGCAUAGAUAUCACGCAGAACUCCGAUUGCGAAGGCAGCAUACCGGCGCUCAACUGACGCUCAUGCACGAAAGUGUGGGUAUCGAACAGGAUUAGAUACCCGAGUAGUC